rnacentral:rRNA from 1 species
GAUGAACGCUGGCGGCGUGCCUAACACAUGCAAGUCGAGCGAUUCUCUUCGGAGAAGAGCGGCGGACGGGUGAGUAACGCGUGGGUAACCUGCCCUGUACACACGGAUAACAUACCGAAAGGUAUGCUAUACGAGAUAAUAUACUUUUAUCGCAUGGUAGAAGUAUCAAAGCUCCGGCGGUACAGGAUGGACCCGCGUCUGAUUAGCUAGUUGGUAAAGUAACGGCUUACCAAGGCGACGAUCAGUAGCCGACCUGAGAGGGUGAUCGGCCACAUUGGAACUGAGACACGGUCCAAACUCCUACGGGAGGCAGCAGUGGGGAAUAUUGCACAAUGGGCGAAAGCCUGAUGCAGCAACGCCGCGUGAGCGAUGAAGGCCUUCGGGUCGUAAAGCUCUGUCCUCAAGGAAGAUAAUGACGGUACUUGAGGAGGAAGCCCCGGCUAACUACGUGCCAGCCGCCGCCGUAA